rnacentral:sRNA from 1 species
UGUUCGGUCCGAAGUCGGUGGGUUACCCAAUUGAACCCCCUCCCAUCGGCACUCACUUGACCGUGGU